rfam:Picea glauca, whole genome shotgun sequence.
GGGUGCGAUCAUACCAGCGUUAAUCCACCAUAUCCCAUCAGAACUCCGUAGUUAAGCGCGCUUGGGCUAGAGAAGUACUGGGAUGGGUGACCUCCCAGGAAGUCCUAGUGUUGCACCCU